UAUGUAGGGUGCGAGCGUUAAUCGGAAUUACUGGGCGUAAAGCGUGCGCAGGCGGCUUCGCAAGUCAGACGUGAAAUCCCCGGGCUUAACCUGGGAAUGGCGUUUGAAACUACGGAGCUGGAGUGUGGCAGAGGGAGGUAGAAUUCCACGUGUAGCGGUGAAAUGCGUAGAUAUGUGGAGGAAUACCGAUGGCGAAGGCAGCCUCCUGGGCCAACACUGACGCUCAUGCACGAAAGCGUGGGGAGCAAACAGG
rnacentral:rRNA from 1 species